rnacentral:misc_RNA from 1 species
UCAUUGUUUGAUGAUGAGGGAGUGUCGCAGGCUUGAUGAUGGCUUGCCAAUUUUCGCUUUCCGGCAGCAGAUACUUAGGCAAAUACAUUAUCAACAGGUGACUGUCUUAAUUGGUGAGACUGGAUCAGGAAAAAGUACGCAAUUGGUUCAAUUCCUAGCUGAUUGUGGGGUAACUGGUAAUGGGUCUAUAGUUUGCACUCAGCCUCGGAAACUUGCUGCGAAUUCUUUGGCACAAAGGGUGAAACAGGAAAGUGAAGGGUGUUACGAAGAUAACUCGAUCAUCUGCUAUCCGUCAUAUUCAUCUGGUCAUAAGUUUGAUUCAAAAGUAGUAUUUAUGACGGAUCAUUGCCUUCUACAGCACUAUAUGGUCGAUAAGAGUUUGUCCAAGAUUUCAUGUAUCAUUGCCUUCUACAGCACUAUAUGGUCGAUAAGAGUUUGUCCAAGAUUUCAUGU